rnacentral:rRNA from 1 species
CAGCAGCCACGGUAAUACGAAGGGUGCAAGCGUUACUCGGAAUUACUGGGCGUAAAGCGUGCGUAGGUGGUGAUUUAAGUCCGUUGUGAAAGCCCUGGGCUCAACCUGGGAAUUGCAGUGGAUACUGGGUCACUAGAGUGUGGUAGAGGAUAGUGGAAUUUCCGGUGUAGCAGUGAAAUGCGUAGAGAUCGGAAGGAACAUCUGUGGCGAAGGCGACUAUCUGGGCCAACACUGACACUGAGGCACGAAAGCGUGGGGAGCAAACAGGAUUAGAUACCCGCGUAGUCCCUGUCUCUUAUAC